rnacentral:rRNA from 1 species
UGGGGAAUUUUGGACAAUGGGGGAAACCCUGAUCCAGCCAUCCCGCGUGUGCGAUGAAGGCCUUCGGGUUGUAAAGCACUUUUGGCAGGAAAGAAACGUCAUGGGUUAAUACCCCGUGAAACUGACGGUACCUGCAGAAUAAGCACCGGCUAACUACGUGCCAGCAGCCGCGGUAAUACGAAGGGUGCAAGCGUUAAUCGGAAUUAAUGGGCGUAAAGCGUGCGCAGGCGGUUCGGAAAGAAAGAUGUGAAAUCCCAGAGCUUAACUUUGGAACUGCAUUUUUAACUACCGGGCUAGAGUGUGUCAGAGGGAGGUGGAAUUCCGCGUGUAGCAGUGAAAUGCGUAGAUAUGCGGAGGAACACCGAUGGCGAAGGCAGCCUCCUGGGAUAACACUGACGCUCAUGCACGAAAGCGUGGGGAGCAAACA